CCUACGGGAGGCAGCAGUGAGGAAUAUUGGUCAAUGGUCGGGAGACUGAACCAGCCAAGCCGCGUGAGGGAGGAAGGUACAGAGUAUCGUAAACCUCUUUUGUCAGGGAACAAAGGCGGGGACGUGUCCCCGGAUGAGUGUACCUGAAGAAAAAGCAUCGGCUAACUCCGUGCCAGCAGCCGCGGUCAUAAGGAGGAUGCGAGCGUUAUCCGGAUUUAUUGGGUUAAAAGGGAGCGCAGGCGGUCUGUUAAGACAGCGGUCAAAGCCCGGGGCUCAACCCCGGUCCGCCGUUGAAACUGGCAGUCUUGAGUGGGAGAGAGGUAUGCGGAAUGCGCGGUGUAGCGGUGAAAUGCAUAGAUAUCGCGCAGAACUCCGAUUGCGAAGGCAGCAUGCCGGCUCCACACUGACGCUGAGGCACGAAAGCGUGGGUAUCGAACAGGAUGAGAUACCCCAGUAGUC
rnacentral:rRNA from 1 species